GCUAAACCCCGUCUAGAUGCUGCUCUCGCCAGUACCUUCUACACACACGCCGAAGGGUGCUUUUUUUUGUCGCAUUAGACGCUGACAGCCACUAUCCAAACGUUCGUAUUUUACGCGUUCGGAGUAAGAACGGGUCUUGCAGCUGUCUAGGCA